AUGUCAUGCUUUGGUCUCACCAAAUCAAUUUUUUAUGAUAUGAGUUCAAUGAUCAGAAGACAGCAAUGUAGUGAAAUGGAUAAAGAGAACAAAGUCUAUUGUAUUGGAUGGGAGAAACUAAGAAAGCCAAAGGAAGAUGAGGGCUUGGGAUUUAAAUACUUACACUCUUUAAAUCUAGCCAUGUUAGCUAGGAAGUUAGGGAGAACUUUACAAAAUCUUUAUUUCUCUAUAAUCAAGUCCUUUCAGCAAAAUACUUUCCAAAUAAGAAUGUGUUAUCUGUUGAACCUAAGAUUGACAUAUCUUACUGCUGGAGAAGUAUUAUAA
rnacentral:rRNA from 1 species